rnacentral:rRNA from 1 species
GACGAACGCUGGCGGCAUGCCUAAUACAUGCAAGUCGAGCGAACAGAUGAAGUGCUUGCACUUCUGACGUUAGCGGCGAACGGGUGAGUAACACGUAAGGAAUCUACCUAUAAGCGGGGGAUAACAUUCGGAAACGGGUGCUAAUACCGCAUAAUAUCUUCUUCCGCAUGGAAGAAGAUUGAAAGACGGCUCUGCUGUCACUUAUAGAUGACCUUGCGGUGCAUUAGUUAGUUGGUGGGGUAAUGGCCUACCAAGACGAUGAUGCAUAGCCGAACGGAGAGGGUGAUCGGCCACAUUGGGACUGAGACACGGCCCCAAGUACUACGGGAGGCAGCAGUAGGGAAUCUUCCGCAAUGGGCGGAAGCCUGACGGAGCAAUGCCGCGUGAGUGAAGAAGGCCUUCGGGUCGUAAAACUCUGUUAUAAGAGAAGAACAAAUUGUAGAGUAACUGCUACAGUCUUGACGGUAUCUUAUCAGAAAGCCACGGCUAACUACGUGCCAGCCGCCGCAGUAA